ACGGCCUUUGCAAUAAAUGAAGGCCCUCCCCACCGAAGGCAAGCUGAAACCUCCCUCAGAACAGUCCUUCUUUUCUUUAAAAAAAACCAAAAACCAAAAAACUCUCUCUCGAACCAGGCAGCCACAGCCGUGAACAACGCAGCAGUGGCCAAGGUUAAGGCUCGGCAACUGCGCGUCAAGAAGGAGGAGCUGAUGAAACAAAACUGGACAGUCUGAAGGUGGAACUGUCCCAGUUUCCGGUCGCCAAAGUGACAGGCGGCGGCGCGUCCAAGCUCUCCAAGAUACGAGUCGAACGCAAACCCAUCGCCUGUGUCCUCGCCAUUAUUAAUCAGACUCAAAAGAAAAACCUCAGGAAACUCUACAAGGGAAAGGAGUACAAGACCCUGGACCUGCGGUCCAUGAAGACUAGAGACACACGCCGGCUCGCCCAAGAAGACUAGAGCCGUGCGCCGCCAGCUCGCCAAGCACCAAGAGAAGCUGAAGACCAAGAAACAGCCGCGGAAGGAGCUGAUGUACCCACUGCGCCAGUACACAGUCAAGGUCUGAGACGACAGCGACAGUAAAGGGAAAGACUGAAGGGAAAAAAACCUCACUUAUUCAUUUGUGUGUGGGUAGGUGUGCGGGUUGGGAUGGCACACGUACGAGGGCAUGCUUGUGGAGGUCAGAGAACAUCUUUGUGGGACUCUGUUUUCUCCUUCGACCGUGUGAGGGUCUCGUGGAUCAAACUCAGGCUGUUUGGCAGUAAGUGCCUUUACCUACUGAGCCACGUUGCCAGCCCUGUAGCUGUUUCUGAUUGAUAAAGAAAGCUACCAGGGUUGGGGAUUUAGCUCAGUGGUAGAGCACUUGCCUAGCAAGCGCAAGGCCUGGGUUCGGUCCCCAGCUCCGAAAAAAAGAAAAAAAAAAAAGAAAGAAAAAAAAAGAAAGAAAGAAAAAGAAAGCUACCUCUUGCUUGAGGUUGCUUUCCUUGGUGUUGUUUUGUUUAUUGCUUAUUUCGUUUCAAGACAGGGCCUGCCCUGGACCCUGGAGCUUUCCAUGAAAUCCAGACUGGUCCUGACUUCCCAACCCUCCGGUCUCAGCUUGCUGAAUGCUGUGGUUACAGAAGUGAGCCACCAUGCCUGUCUACUUUGUAUCCUACAGUCUGGAGACUGAGACCAGUUAGUUGUAGAGGAGUCUGGUUACAACCUUCCAAGACAAAAGACGCAAACCUAAUAAAGGACUUGUACCCAGAGCA